GCCGGGGUGGUGAAACUGGUAGACGCACCGGACUCAAAAUCCGGCACCCGCAAGGGUAUGCGAGUUCGAUUCUCGCCCCCGGCA
rnacentral:tRNA from 1 species